rnacentral:rRNA from 1 species
CGGGUGGUAAUGCCGGAUGCUCCAGUUGAUCGCAUGGUCUUCUGGGAAAGCUUUCGCGGUAUGGGAUGGGGUCGCGUCCUAUCAGCUUGACGGCGGGGUAACGGCCCACCGUGGCUUCGACGGGUAGCCGGCCUGAGAGGGCGACCGGCCACAUUGGGACUGAGAUACGGCCCAGACUCCUACGGGAGGCAGCAGUGGGGAAUAUUGCACAAUGGGCGCAAGCCUGAUGCAGCGACGCCGCGUGAGGGAUGGAGGCCUUCGGGUUGUAAACCUCUUUUAUCGGGGAGCAAGCGUGAGUGAGUUUACCCGUUGAAUAAGCACCGGCUAACUACGUGCCAGCAGCCGCGGUAAUACGUAGGGUGCAAGCGUUAUCCGGAAUUAUUGGGCGUAAAGGGCUCGUAGGCGGUUCGUCGCGUCCGGUGUGAAAGUCCAUCGCUUAACGGUGGAUCCGCGCCGGGUACGGGCGGGCUUGAGUGCGGUAGGGGAGACUGGAAUUCCCGGUGUAACGGUGGAAUGUGUAGAUAUCGGGAAAGAACACCA